rnacentral:lncRNA from 1 species
AUUUAAAAUAAAAAUAUUUAAAGAAAUAACAAAGAAUCUUUAAAAAAUAUUUAAAAUAGAAAUCUUAAUAUAAUCUUAAUUAAAAUUAUAAUUGAAUCUUAAUCAAAUUUUGAAUCAAAUUUUAAUUGAAAUCCUAAUUGAACCUUAAUCAAAUCCUAUAUCAAAUCUUGAUAAAAUUCUAAUAAAAUCCAAAAUACUAGACAAAUCUAAAAUAAUUUUUAAUCCAAACCUUCAACAAAUCUUAAUUCUAAUCAAUUCCUAGACCAAAUCUUAAACCAAACCUUAAUCAAAU